CGUUGGGGUGGUUCCUCAUUCGUCCUCUCCUCUCUCUCUUCCCCUUCCCUCUUCGACGGUCCAAUCCCUCCUCAGGCCUCAAUCUUCCCUUCAGCUUCUGCGCUACUCUCUCUUCCUUCAGCUCUCCGCCAACUCCUCAUUCCCUUAGCACUUGGAUGACUUGGCCUCUCUCUCUUUCUCUCCCGCCUCUCUCUUCCCUCGUGUCUAUGGGGGCUUUCACCUCUCUCUCUCUCUCUCUCUCUCUAACCCAAUUUGAACUGCAAGCGAGAUGAAAGCAUCCUACGGCACACUCCCCUUUUCAUCUGAAUCUAGACUGGGAGAGAUCUGACCAAGGCGACACAGGAGACGCGGGCUUAGAAUAACCUGUCGGUGGUCGACGGAAACUUUAUCUACCAGCCAGCCAUCGGUACAAGCUUGUUCGUCACUCACCAGUGGGAUGGCCGCAGCGGCUUCUAAUAGCAACUGAAUCUGCACCGGCGAUUGUCUAUCUCGAGCAAUUCAUCCCCGAAUAAAAGGUAGAGAUUCAUUCUGUGAUGAAACUCUGGCUUUCUUUCUCUCGAACCAGUAGUUCCGAUGGAUAUUUUGUUUUUCCUUUUGUGACCUCCAUUUUGAUGCGCAGAAGAUUGUGCCUUCUAGCAGUAAUUGACUGUUACAGUUCCAUUUGAAAGAAGUCUUGUUGAUGAAACGAUUACAAUUAAUGCAAAUCUAUAUGCUGCCUUA